UUAAUUGAAGCCAAAAAGAGGCUUAUCACUGUUAAUGAUAGAACUGAGAUGUAUACUCCAAUUAAA
rnacentral:tRNA from 1 species